GGGGAAGUGGCGGCGGCCUAAUACAUGCAGUCGAGCGAACAGAGAAGGAGCUUGCUCCUUUGACGUUAGCGGCGGACGGGUGAGUAACACGUGGGCAACCUACCUUAUAGUUUGGGAUAACUCCGGGAAACCGGGGCUAAUACCGAAUAAUCUGUUUCACCUCAUGGUGAAAUAUUGAAAGACGGUUUCGGCUGUCGCUAUAGGAUGGGCCCGCGGCGCAUUAGCUAGUUGGUGAGGUAACGGCUCACCAAGGCGACGAUGCGUAGCCGACCUGAGAGGGUGAUCGGCCACACUGGGACUGAGACACGGCCCAGACUCCUACGGGAGGCAGCAGUAGGGAAUCUUCCACAAUGGGCGAAAGCCUGAUGGAGCAACGCCGCGUGAGUGAAGAAGGAUUUCGGUUCGUAAAACUCUGUUGUAAGGGAAGAACAAGUACAGUAGUAACUGGCUGUACCUUGACGGUACCUUAUUAGAAAGCCACGGCUAACUACGUGCCAGCAGCCGCGGUAAUACGUAGGUGGCAAGCGUUGUCCGGAAUUAUUGGGCGUAAAGCGCGCGCAGGUGGUUUCUUAAGUCUGAUGUGAAAGCCCACGGCUCAACCGUGGAGGGUCAUUGGAAACUGGGAGACUUGAGUGCAGAAGAGGAUAGUGGAAUUCCAAGUGUAGCGGUGAAAUGCGUAGAGAUUUGGAGGAACACCAGUGGCGAAGGCGACUAUCUGGUCUGUAACUGACACUGAUGCGCGAAAGCGUGGGGAGCAAACAGGAUUAGAUACCCUGGUAGUCCACGCCGUAAACGAUGAGUGCUAAGUGUUAGGGGGUUUCCGCCCCUUAGUGCUGCAGCUAACGCAUUAAGCACUCCGCCUGGGGAGUACGGGUCGCAAGACUGAAACUCAAGGAAUUGACGGGGGCCCGCACAAGCGGUGGAGCAUGUGUUUAAUUCGAAGCAACGCGAGAACCUUACCAGGUCUUGACAUCCCGUUGACCACUGUAGAGAUUGGUUCCCUUCAGGGCAACGGUGACAGUGUUGCAUGAUGUCGUCAGCUCGUGGUCGUGAAAUGUUAGGGCAAAGUUCCGCACCGAGCGCAACCAUGGAUCUUGUUGCCAUCCAUUUAAGUGGGCACCUCUAA
rnacentral:rRNA from 1 species